rnacentral:rRNA from 1 species
CCUGAGAAACCCGAAAGAUCGAAUGGGGAGAUUCAUCGUCAGCGAUUUUGGUACGUGUGCGGUUCGCGAUGUCAGAGACUUCGGUCUCGUGGCACGCGUCCGCAUGUUUUUUAUUGCUGGAAUCGUCGGCGUGCACUUCUCCCCUAGUAGGACGUCGCGACCCGUUGGGUGUCGGUCUACGGCACGGUAGGUAGCCUGUCACGUGUGCGCUUCACGGCGUUAUGCGGGGCAGACCUCCGUUCGCCCGACCGGCUGCUCGGCGGUACUCGCAAGGUAUCUGGCCGCAGACAUACGAACUGCGUCCGGCCCGUCGCAAGCGCGGCAAGUGUUUCCCGGCUGUACGGAUCUAAUGCCGUCACCGGGCCUUGCCAGCUGUUGGUUGACGGUGUCCUAGGACUGGCUAACAAAAUUAUGAUACCGGUCGGCGACGCUACUGCUUUGGGUACUUUCAGGA